rnacentral:rRNA from 1 species
UACGGAGGGGGCGAGCGUUUGUCCGAAGUUACUGGGCGUAAGCGCGCGUAGGCGGGUUGGUAAGUCCGCUGUGAAAGCCCGGAGCUUAACUCCGGAGGGUCGGUGGAUACUGCCAGUCUUGAAGGUGCUAGGGGGAGAUGGAAUUACCGGUGGUAGCGGUGAAAUGCGUAGAGAUCGGUAGGAACACCAGUGGCGAAGGCGGUCUCCUGGGGCAUUCUUGACGCUGAGGCGCGAA